rnacentral:sRNA from 1 species
GGAGCGUGAAUUGCUGCCAUAUUUCGAG